GAAAAACACCGCAAAGAUGCAAGAGAUACACGAAAGGCACGCAAGAAUGCGAAGAAAAAGAAGGGAAAAGGAAAAAAGAAGUAAACGUAUACAGGAUCUAUCAGUCACAUUUGUUUCUAUCUUAUUAAUGUGACUGCGAAUCUUUUAUAUCAGCAUUUAGAAUGAAUGUGAUGACGGAAAAACGGGAUAUAGUAAUCGGAAUUAACCUGGACAACGAAGUUAAUGAC
rnacentral:ribozyme from 14 species